GUACGAUGAAGAUAUGAAAAGUGGUUGAGGCUUCACUCAGACCAUCUCCCAGCUAGAAUUUUCCUGUUGAAUUCCAACUUGAAGGACAUGGACAUGUGGAAGAACAGAGACUCAACUUCAAAAUAUGCAGAAAAGAAUGGACCCACUACUAUAUUAUAAUUGGUUGUAAGGUGAUGGAAAUCUUGGGAAGUUAGUGGCCCGGUUAGGAAAUGUGUUGACUUCAGGUGAGGCUUGUUUGAAGUUGCACAAAUAUUUUCACCAGGACAUGUUGUUUCACCAUCUUUAAACCUGACUGCAGUAGAAAAAGAACACCUUUUUUUCAAGUCAUAUCAACAAGGGUCCAGCUUGUCUUAUGUCCUUCUUUGAAUCAGACUGAGACUAAGGGAAACCACACUGUGAUUGGCAAAGUGCAGGUCACAGGAAUUAUUAAAUUCAAACUGCACAUACUAAGAAUAUGGGAAAGGUUGGUUAUUCCAACAGCUCCCAUCGGAAGCAAAGGUUUAGAAUGAAAGAAGCCAACAGCACGCACAUGUCCACAGAAGAAUGCAGAUCUGGAAGCUGCAACCUAACAGCUGGGAGAGCCUAGUGCCAAGCUUGAGAGGGAUCCUUCUUCUGUUCUCUUUUCUUAUAGCAAAGUCCUGGAGGUGCAUUAAUCCAGCAAACCUCUGGUGAGCUUCCACUCUGUACCCAGAGAUCAAGGAAAACAAGAGCCUGCCCAAAUCCAUGGCUUGGCAUCUGGCUGAAAGCAGAAACAUGGCACAGUUCUAGUCCAGGAAAGUGGAGCCCUUCUCCUUUCCUUUGAAUGAGUGCUGAGAGCUCAGUCUCCCAAGUUCUAUUGGCUGGAGGUCAUCGUAUGGAGUGAAGUAAUGAAGUGUACCACUGGAGAUGCAGCUGAAGACAUCGGCUGCAGAAGAAAUAUCAAUAUUUCACUCGCGGUGCUAGAAAGCCUGAUGCCCUGCAGAAAACAAAUCCAGUGGAGCAAAGUGGCCAUGGGAAUGCAAAGCAAUGAACACCCUAUUCAGUGGUCUUCACUGGUUCUCCAAUAUUUUCAACACCACUCUCGGGAUAGAAUUCUCCAUAUAAGGACGGCUCCUGCAAGGAAAGGUGGUGAGAAGGGCAGUUCUGCCAUCAACACAGAAGUGACUCCAGAGUGCACCAUCUACAUUCACAAGCACAUCCGUGGAGUGGGCCUCUGGAAAUGUGCCCCAGGCACUCAAAGCGAUCCAGAAGACUGCUGUGAAGGAGAGGGGUCUCCAGAUGUACACACUGAUAGCAAGUUCAACAAAGCUGUCUGGCCAAAGGAGCAAGGAACAUCCUGGACCACAUCCACCAAACAAGCUCUACAUAUCUGGCAUCACUUAAAAAUCUGUAGACACAUAAUGUGGAUAAGUACUGGAUAUCUUUUAGGAGGCCAAAUCACAUGGGAGUCUCUUCCCCCAUAUUUCCUCUCAUGGCCCAAAUAUCCCUCUCCAAAGAUCCAGAUGCAAAAUGCAAAAGAGAGAACAAUUACGACAAUUUAUGCCUGAUGUCAGAUCUGAAAAGAGAUCUGACCCAGAGAG
ensembl:lncRNA